rnacentral:lncRNA from 1 species
AGGCCGAGGCUUUCCCGGAUUCCUUUCCGGCAUGCAUGCAAGGCACAUGAGGAUGAUUACCAUCACAAAAAUAUUCAUUUCCAACAGCAAGGAAAUCACUAAAAUGCUUCCAUGCAUACGAUCAUAUCACAUGAAAUAACAAGUCCUCCGAAAUAAGGUGGUGUGAUAAACGUGUCAAAUAACACACCAAAAACAUUAUGCCAGGGUUCAGAAUGCUUGCCUUCAAGUUGUGGAGGGGUAAGGUGCUCUCCAAAACUUUUGAAAGUUUCUUCUCUCUCUCCAAAAUCCUAUUUUAAAAUAUAUUUGAAUUAACACACAUUUCAAAAACAGUACAAAAAGUUGUUUGGAAAAUUUUGAAAUAAAUCUUAAAAUAAACUAGACCAAAUUUGAGGAAGGUAGGAAAAAGAAUCAAUUCAUUUGGAGUUGUAUUUAAAAAGUUAUAGGUAGUGAAAGUUCUGGUCAAAAUCUGGUAUUUGAAAUAAAACAGAAAAGAAAACGUUUCGAAUGGCAUUACGCUUUCGCCCAGAGGAGACGUACUUGUGCCUUUACGCCUCCACUUACCCAGCAUGGGCGGCGCGUGUGUCACUGACAGUGGGCCCGCCUGGCCCACUGGUCAGGUUUGACCAAUCGCCCGCGUCGUCUCCCUCCUCUGCCCGAGUGGAGCGGGGCUCCGGCGAUCAUCGCCGGCGAACGGUGGCUCCGUUCGGAAAGCUGAGGCCACCAGCGGACUCAGGGGGCCGAGGUGGUCACUCCGGUAGUCGUAGGGUCAUCGGAAGUGGAGGAAAUCGCCGGCGGCGAGCUCCGCAGCGGAGGGAAGCUUCGGGAGCAAGGUGGAUUUGGGGCUACGGUGGUUCCCGAUCAAGAUUGAGUAGGGGGAUGGGUUCACAGGAGGAUGAGGAAGUUUCUGGCAAAGAGAAUGGAGAGGGGGAGGCCCUGGUGGUGCCGGAAUGGCCGGGGCGGUGGCGGCGGUUGCCGGAGAUGAGGAAGGAGGCCUCCCCGGGUCGAUUGGCUGGCAAUGGGGGUCCUCGGGAGGUGGCUUGGGAUUGCCUGCGUGCGGAGAUGAGCUCGGGGCUCCUUAAAUAAGCGAGUCGAGGCGGUUCAGCGGCGGCCGCGGAUGAGCUCGCGCUGUUCUAGGGGCCAGGUGGCGAGCAGGAGGGGCUUGGGCGGCGCUGCCCGUGGCUGGAGCCGCUGCGGACGCCGGGGUGCCGCCAAAAUGCCCUGGCAGCGGCGCUGUAGCGUGCCAGGGUGGCUUGGCGCGUUGCUGCGCGGCGGGGAGUGCGUGGCGAGGUGCUGCCGAGUGGGCCAAAGCCAGGGGGCCAGCGUGUCGGCUCGGGCACGGCAUCGUGCAAUACGGGCGCUCUGGGCGCGUCCAGUGCACGCACGGGAGAUGUUCGACACAAUGCCGCGGCAUGCUACAGGUCGCAGGUGAGGUUGGGGUUUACCAGAUCGAGGUUAGGAGCAACUGGGAGUCUAGUGGACAGGUUAGUUUGAUCCAAGGUGCAAGCUCACAGUGCAAUGCCAAAAUUCAUGUCAAAACUGGUCAUGCCUACAGGGUGCUCGAUAGAAUGCCACAUGCACCUAGGCAACUCUUGGGGUGGCCAAAACUUCCAGAUUGGGGUCUCUUUAGAUGGACAAGAGGGUGCUGAGGUUAGUUUGGCAGAAGGAGAAACUUGUUAGUGCAAGUUUUCCAACACUUCAAUUCUGGACAGGAAAUAAAUGGCAUUAUUUCAUGAACCAAAAAUGAUCCAAAGGGUGCAUGUUCCUGGACUUAAGGGUUUAACAUGGAGGACUACAGGUAGGAGAAAGAAUCAAGGGUUAAAGAGCAAACAAAAAUAUGGUUGCUGCACAAACCAUCAAGUUGGUCCAGAAUGAAAAUGAGGUUGAUUCACUCAAAUUUUUCAAAGAACAGCACUAGGUUUUUCCAAAAUGUUGAAUCAUAUGUUACUACUAACAUCCAAAAAUUUUGGUGGAGGCUAGAAGAAAAUAUUUAAAUGAGUUGUAGUGCAAAAUUACCCACUGGACCAGAGAAGAAAAAAGGGGUGUAGAGCUCAAAAUAUUUCAUAGAAUAAAGAUGUUUUUAUACAAAGGUGAUUUAAAAACAUCACAUGACAUCUCCAAAUUUUGGUUGAAAAUUUAAGUGAAUUUAUCAAAUGGUUGUAGUUCAAAUAUGGCCAUUUAACCUUGAAAAUCCAUUUUCAAGAAAGUAAAGAUCAAGCAACUUAAUUAUUUAAUUAGUUAUAUUAAAUAAGGAAAAGUUUUUCUUGAGAGAUUAAAUAAGCCCAAUAGCAUAUUUGAAAGAGUUUCACUUAGGGAAAACUCAUCACCAAUAGGGAGGAAAUGAUUUAAAAAUCAAAAAGGAGCUCAGAAAUCCAAAGUUUUAAAUUCAUGGCAAAAUUUUAAUUCAUUAAAAUAAGGUCAAAAUUUUGGGGUGUCACAACACUACCCCCCUUCAGAAAAAUCUCGUCCUCGAGAUUUGAUAAAAGCUGUUUUAAGAAAAACUAUAAGCAGAAAAAUGUGGCUACAGUGAGAGGGCAAUAAGUGGUGUAAAACCACCGUGUGGAUACUGGUGCUGCGUGAGAAAUCUACGGUUCGGGACAAAACGUGAGAUUUUUACGCUGGAUAUAAAUUUAGAAUAACUUCUAAAUUUAAAUAUACGCUAGUCGUACCCGAGAGCACAAUGCUCUCCCUGGCCGACAGGUGGACCCGAGGCCCACUGUCAGCCUCUUCUUCUCCCUCUGGUUCUCUCUUCUUCCUCUCUCUCGUGCGCUUCCCCGCGCUUUCUCCACCGGCGACGUUUAGCGCGUAGGGUAUCUAGGCCGUACCGCGGUAGUGCGCGGCGUGCUAGCUGCCGGUGCAGCGUGCACUCACCUCGCGGGCCAGCGUGCUAUCGGCACUGCUUGCGGAUUCGACUCCGAACACCGGCGGUCGUUGACGAGCGGCGUUGGUGGACUUCGCCCACCGUACACCGAGCUCGAGCUAUAAAAUGGCCGGGGUGUUCUCCUCUCUUCUUCCUCACACCUGGCCUCACUUCUCCUCCUCCUUCUUCCAUUACUGCUUACAGAAGCUCGGGUGAGGCUCUGAUGGCGGAGGCGAUGCCGGACUGGUUUGCGAUCCUGAUAUUCGGAGGGCUGGCGACACUACUGGGGCUCUCCGUGCUCUUGUGCGCGAUGAUCCUCGACGAUCGUCGCGACGCUGCUGCUCGGGUGUUGGCUCUCUGCGGUGGUGGUGAUCACGAGGAGUAGAUGGGGUGUGCUAGGUGCUAACCGUUGUUAGGGGGUGAUUAGCUGGAUGCAACACCAUUGCAAAGUUUUGCAAACAGUGUAUGUGCUCGAAUGAUUAUGGUUGUGAGUUGCUGCUGUGGUGCUGUGUGAAAUUAAUAAAUCCACGCCGCGAGAAAGUGUAGAUGUGGCAACUCAGAAAAAGGAAAUCUCACUCCAGGAUUUUGCGAGAAAAGCAGUUAAUUUAAAAGAGCAUAAACCACAACAAAAACUACAUCCAUUAGUAGAAGCCAAUUAAUUAACUAGUCGUACAAACUCAGGGCAUUACGCAUAAGUCACACACAUAAAUAAGUGUUGUAAUAGUGAACACCGCAGCAACGUCUAAAAUGGAAACGGUAAUUGGACGGGGUCCCUAGAAAAUGUCUCUGGUACUGGGAUACACUCCUCUUCUAUCGGAGAAAGUGGAUUGACCAGUCGAUGCACAUGUCUCUCCCGGUCGGGCCUUAGUGCUCUGCCUAUGGCGAUUUGAGGAUUUAAAUCUGCGAGGCUCUGGAGAUAACCCAUCACACGUUGGGUUAAACGCUCUUGAGCGAUGACGUACUGGACAAGGUUGCCCAGGACUGGGUCUCUCUCAAUUCGUCCUCCGGGAAAAGAUGUCACUCCUCCGGGUUCUGCACGGCUCGGAAAGUAAUAAUACCCUCGUUCGCUGGCAUAGGGUACCGCGAAUCGAAGGCGAGCAAGCGCUUCAUAUGCAGCAGCUUCCACGGCCAUCUGUGGGGUUGGCAUAGAUUUCCCCACGAAGGAGACCUCUGUGGGGUCUUGGUUUGAGUUUACGGGAGGGAUGUGCACUGCUGCCCAAUAUCUUGAGGUGGAAGAGGUGAUCCUCGAUUUGAACAGCUCGUACUGGGGUGGCUGGGUAGCGCCCAUGGUACUGCAGGUAAAAUCCCACAAUAUCUUGACAAAACUACACGGGGUUGCAUCUGGGGUUCUCAGGUAAAUGCUGGGGCUCGGCAUGGCAAGAGAUGGUUGUGAGGAUGGUGCACAAGAUGAGGGGUGCUUGGCAAGGUCACGCGGUGGCCUUUUAUAGCACUGGAGCUGGGUCAUUUUUACCGUGGUGAAUGGUAAAGAAAAUUUUCAGCUCUGUUCCAAGGGUCGAGGUCAAGCCACAGAUUCACACAUUUCACUAUAGUGAUGUGUUACUGUGGGGGUUGACGGGGUGAUUUUUGGUAACUGUGUCCGGGAUAGAAAUCUUAUACUGCAUACUGGCGUAUCCAGACAAGGAUACUAUUUAAAACAGAGGCACGACAACAGGCGGCGUUUAAAAACAAGGCCACAUGAUUACAAAGCAAGGGUACACUGGGAGUUGAUACGGUUUGGGUGACUUAGUCUACCUCGUUUACAUCCAAGCGGGCGUGCCUUGAGGCUCCUCCACGGAUCUCGUCGUCUGAAUUAACUGGAGUGGUCUGAGGGGCUGCAGGCCCGGGGUAGCGAUGAUGACCAUCUCGGGGAUUGCUGGCCACAACCCCGUUGAAGUGUGCUUCCAAUAUGCGGCGAAGCACUUCUGGGGUUAUCGCGGCACCUUGGCCGAUGGCUGGGGCAGAUCUCCGGGGCUCGAUCGGGUGUCCAAACAGCACGACUGGGUUGUUGAUGUUGGGCUCGUUCUCUUCUCUCGCCGGGGUUCGACGAACCAGCUCUCCACGAGCUGCGAUUAGAUCAAUCGUGAUUUGAUCGCAUAGUUCCUCUAGUGCACUUACAUAGCGCACUAGGUGCAACAAUGCAGGAUCUGUCUCGUGAUCUCCGUUGACAACUUGGGGUGGUCUACCAUACCCUUCACGUCUGGGGUAGUAGUGGAACGAGCGACAGUUAACUCUGGGCGACAAGUGUCGGAGAUGAACUAUAGCUUCUCGAGGAGCUAGUUGGAUGGCUUGUGGCUCAAAGGAAGUUGUCCUUCCGGUGAACCUGUAGGGGCACUCGGGCUCUAGUCCCCUAGCAUAAAUGUGCACAGUGGCCCAGAAUUGACGGCUCUCGCCGCUCAUGGGUCCUUGGUACACAACAUAUUCUGGGGGCUCUUCUAACGCAUAGGCACGACGGGUGAGGUUUGCGAGUAUGGUCACAAAGCCUCCAAGGUUGGUUGCUGUGGUCUCAUUGUGCACGACGGGUCCAGGCAUUGUGGCUCGGUUUGGGGUAGCGGCUGCUGUGCUGGGUUGGGGCUAGCGUGCCCUUUUUAUAGGAAAAAGGGGACGGAGUCUUCCUCCACACGCUUGCGAAAAAGGACUAUUUAGGACUCGGUCACUGGUGCAUGAUUGACGGGUUAGAUGGAUAGGUUGGGCACCGACUGCCGAUAAGGGUGUCGGGUCACGGUGUGGCUAUCUUGCUAGGGAAGCUUGACUGGGGUUUGGUCAAAGUUUGGUGGGCUGGUUUAGUUAGGUUUAUUGACCUGGCUAAGAUAGGAUUAGCCAAUGGUCAGCCUGGCUCUGAUACCAAGUCUGUCACAACCGGUUUUCCGGACAUAAAUUUCCAGAAAAUGGCCGUUUUGCUCACCAGCCCCAGGAUUACUGUUACCUGAUGAGGCACCAACUUGUUACAGAAAUUCCAAGCAAAAGUACAAAAUGUGUAGUACAAGACCAUUGUGGCCUGUGAGUACAUCAAAUGGUUUUCUAGUGGGCGAUGGCGGAAGCGGUUUGUGAAUCAUCAGUGUAUGGGACUCCAUUUCCCACGGGAACAGCUGACCAGGUUAACUCUAUCUUCGCGAGGCUGCUAUCACUGUUGCUUAGUUUCCGGGGCUGUCACCGCAACGUUCCUCUCCAAGCAAAUAUCUGGCCAAGACAAUAGCGAGGGACAAGCCAGUGAGUACUUUGAAUGUACUCGCAAACAUCAAGAACACUGGAAUAAUGUAAUUGAUAAUUAUGCACUUAAAUAUUCUAUGAUCAUAUCGUUAGUCAUAAAUGAAAUAUCUUUUAAGCAUGCAAACGGGUUAUUAAUAUGCAACAUGAAUAAGAAAUAAUGGAGUGGAAAUAAAAUGCCUGUGUUAGCGACACCACAAAAAGGGCCUUAAAAGAAAUGCCACAGUCGGACGUCUGAGCGACAUCACGGAAAGGGCUUUAAAAGAAAUGCCACAGUCGGACGUCUGAGCGACAUCACAGAAAGGGCUUUAAAAGAAAUGCCACAGUCGGACGUCUGAGCGACAUCAUAGAAAGGGCUUUAAAAGAAAUGCCACAGUCGGACGUCUGAGCGACAUCACAGAAAGGGCUUUAAAAGAAAUACCACNNNNNNNNNNNNNNNNNNNNNNNNNNNNNNNNNNNNNNNNNNNNNNNNNNNNNNNNNNNNNNNNNNNNNNNNNNNNNNNNNNNNNNNNNNNNNNNNNNNNNNNNNNNNNNNNNNNNNNNNNNNNNNNNNNNNNNNNNNNNNNNNNNNNNNNNNNNNNNNAGAAAUACCACAGUCGGACGUCUGAGUGACAUCACAGAAAGGGCUUUUAAAAGAAAUGCCACAGUCGGACGUCUGAGCGACAUCACAGAAAGGGCUUUAAAAGAAAUACCACAGUCGGACGUCUGAGCGACAUCACAGAAAGGGCUUUUAUUCACAAGUAAAUAAUACUCAUAAUAAAUAUUCAGUUCAUGAUAAUAAACGGGUUAGUCCAUCCACAGGAAUGAACAUUUAACCGGGCUUAGAAAUAAAUAAUCACAAUGAAUAUCCAGGGGGUAGAACCAUCCCAAGGGAUACUCGAUAAUACAAAUAAUACAACAGGUUAGUCCAUCAUAAAAUAAUAAUCAUGGUCCUCACAAGUCACCGAUCAGUAUCCAAGUUUGGUUUCACCUCCGAAGACCGACACUAAGACCAACACUUGACCCAUCCCAGACUGUAAUCCUUAACCAUGGACACGGCUAUUCGAAUAGGUUUAAUCUUUGCAGAGGGUGUACUCUUUACCCACGAGUAACGGAUUCCUUUAGUCCAUCGGGACUAAUUCCAUCUACGGCCUUUUAGUUGAAAACACGCCUAGCUUGCACACACCAGCUUAACUCAUCGGUGUAUGGAAUCACCCACGACACUUGUUAAGCCAAACUCUAAGUGGGGACGCUACAACCUCGCGUAGCAUGGGAUCAAAUUUAUAUCGCGCGCUCUAAGGGGUGGCCUCCCCUCUCGGUCCCAACCGGAAACACCCAUGCCCCCGGACCAGGUGGCCUGCCUACCGGCUACAACCGAUAUCUUCCACCAUGGCCUCUCUGUACGGUGUGUGCAGGAAAGGGGUUGACGACUUACUGAACCGUACCCUACCUGCGGCAGGGACGAGUGGUAGUACGAGGCAAGUAUGGGGGUUACUGGAACAAGACUCGGUCUACGGUCGACUUAGGAGGUUUAUAAGUUCCCUGCAUGACAUGUAACAAAUAUAUUUCAAUCAAUAAAAUCACCACUCAAUAUACCUUACCAUGCCUUACCGGACAUAACCGUCCCGACGGGGACCGGUGACAAGCUCACGCCUACCCAAGGCCGAGGCUUUCCCGGAUUCCUUUCCGGCAUGCAUGCAAGGCACAUGAGGAUGAUUACCAUCACAAAAAUAUUCAUUUCCAACAGCAAGGAAAUCACUAAAAUGCUUCCAUGCAUAUGAUCAUAUCACAUGAAAUAACAAGUCCUCCGAAAUAAGGUGGUGUGAUAAACGUGUCAAAUAACACAACAAAAACAUUAUGCCAGGGUUCAGAAUGCUUGCCUUCAAGUUGUGGAGGGGUAAGGUGCUCUCCAAAACUUUUGAAAGUUUCUUCUCUCUCUCCAAAAUCCUAUUUUAAAAUAUAUUUGAAUUAACACACAUUUCAAAAACAGUACAAAAAGUUGUUUGGACAAUUUUGAAAUAAAUCUUAAAAUAAACUAGACCAAAUUUGAGGAAGGUAGGAAAAAGAAUCAAUUCAUUUGGAGUUGUAUUUAAAAAGUUAUAGGUAGUCAAAGUUCUGGUCAAAA